AGAUGACCCGAAAACAGGAGUUCCCUGUAGGCGGAACCUUCCACGGAAGGUGAACUUUGCUCAGAAAGGGAGCAGGAAGGGAAGGGUAUUUCUGGAAGUGGGAGCGCUGGGGCAGAGGGACAGGAGGACGCCCACUCUGCUCGUGCAGAGACGGACAGGUGCUAGCCUGGAGCCUUUCUUGGCUUAGCUGUGGCUGUCUCCACUGCAAUUAUUUUAGGUUCUCCCAGCUAUUUUAAAUAUGCCAUAUAAUGCUGACCAAGUAAACGUAGCAGCACAUUCCCCCAGGUUUUAAGAUUGAUGAAAACAGGGACGACGCGGCAUCAUACUGGUACAACGGACUUUUUAUUGUAGUUGUUGUUUAAGUGCAAAGGAAGGCUGGUGGUACCUGAUAAAUAGAAAAGGCAAGAGUCUACUACGGACCAUGAGUGGAAAACCACGGACGCUUCUGAGAGUAAUUAAUCCCCACUGCACAGUCUCCUGUGCAGAGUUUGGAGGAAAAGCCUUCAUUUGGAGCAAAUAGGGACCAAGGAGGCCUCACAUAUAAAUGGCGCACCUGGAUCCCUAACAGACUUCAGGGAAUUUUGGAAUAAGCAUCUGAAACAAAGAUUACAGAACAAUUGAUGUGCAAGACCCUUGGUUAAAACAACUGAAGAAAAUUCGGAAAAGCGAUUAUCUCUAAAUAGGUCAUUUGCACAGCAAAGAAGCGUACUGCUCACUGAACUGAGCUGAACUCAUUGAAUUCAUUGACUCUUGCCUUUAUUUCGAGAAACAAAGAAUUUAUCCAGGAAAGCAAUUAAACUCUGGCCUAUUUAA